UACAGAGGUCUCAAGCGUUGUUCGGAUUCAUUGGGCGUAAAGGGUGCGUAGGCGGCGCGGUAAGUCGGGUGUGAAAUCUCGGAGCUUAACUCCGAAACUGCAUUCGAUACUGCCGUGCUUGAGGACUGGAGAGGAGACUGGAAUUUACGGUGUAGCGGUGAAAUGCGUAGAUAUUGGGAGGAACACCAGUGGCGAAGGCGGCUCACUGGACCGGUACUGACGCUGAUGCGCGAAAGCGUGGGGAGCAAACGGG
rnacentral:rRNA from 1 species